rnacentral:rRNA from 1 species
UACGUAGGGGGCAAGCGUUGUCUGGAUUUAUUGGGCGUAAAGAGCGUGUAGGCGGCCAAGCAGGUCCGCUGUGAAAACUCGAGGCUCAACCUCGAGACGUCGGUGGAAACCGUUUGGCUAGAGUCCGGAAGAGGAGAGUGGAAUUCCCGGUGUAGCGGUGAAAUGCGCAGAUAUCGGGAAGAACACCCGUGGCGAAGGCGGCUCUCUGGGACGGUACUGACGCUGAGACGCGAAAGCGUGGGGAGCGAACAGG